CCAUCGAGCGAGAACCACUCUCACGCACGACUCUCUGCCCUCGUUCGCCGCCACCGCCGCUCCAUCCCUCGCCGCCGCCCUCGUUCACCGCCGCCGCCGCUCCAUCCCUUCGCCGCUGCCCUCGCACAUCAAAGCCGGCGUCCCUCCAUCCCUUCACCGCCGCCUCUAGAUCUUCUGCCUAGGGUUCCCCGCCGCCGCCGCAAAAAACACCAUCAAUCUCAUCCUUCGCUGCCCACUCCCAUCGAUCGUUGCCGCCGCCGCAGCCGUCGUCCGAGGGGGUCGUUAGUACGUAGGUCGUCGUUAGUUUCGUUCGUUAGCCUCCCCAUCGAUCCAUGCCGCCACCCAUGGUCCGAUCACCGGCCGUCGUAGACGUCGCCUCCCUGCCUCCCCACCGGCACCCUGCUGCAAGCGGCUUCUCCCCAUGCGUUGCCGCCAACACCGCUGGACGCUGCCGUGUCUCGCACAAUUCAGGCCAGCACCCAGGCCGAUCGUCGAGCCCUUCAGGUUCAGGUUUUGAACGUUCCUUCCUGUAUGUCCUUUCCUGUAAGAAUCUGUUUUUUUAACAGCAGGCUGGUUACUUUGACUCAUGUAUGUUCCUUCCUCCGGGAACAACAAUUUACUGCGUUGGAUUGAGUUGGGGACGGGAACGUGCUCCACUGCCGUUGCAAGUCCUCUGUGGUUCUUGGAACAGCGUAAGGUACCAGUGCCCCCUCUUCAAACUAAACCACUUCUUGUAUUAUUUGUUUAAUCUGAUGAUACUUAAGGAAUGCACAUAUCUCUAUCCUGUAUAUUGUUUUGGCCAUGUGGAAAAUUUGUUUAGUAGUUAACACUCAGAAGUCAAGGCACUUCGGAGCAAUAAUUAUUACACUAAUUACAUGAUUAUUCAUUUUUCUCUGUAGUUGUGAUUAAUGAGUUAUCUACUCAACAGUCAAGAUACUUUGGGAGCUAUAAACUUUAUAUAUGGAAGUUAAUAUUCUGUUUAGAAACUUGAAUUGUGGGGCAGAUGAAAAUGCUUCGUAAUUGAGAUAGGGGCUGUCAGUCAUGCACCUUUUCUUCUUUUGUAUUUGGGAGUAUUUUAUAUAUUUAGUGCAAUAUGAUUUGUGAAAUAUUUUUGGCCAAAUAUGUUUUUCGCCAUCUUCGGAUGAUUUUGGACUGCCCUCCCAAGACAUAGGUUGACGCUGAUAUCGAUGUAUCUAAAGAAAAUGAUAUGGAUGCUUCCUCGUUCUUUAUUAUUAGUGAUCCUGUAAUAUCUUUCUUAUCCAUUCAUGCAUGUCAAAGAUGCGCACGUUGUUGCUUCCUUGUGCUUUGUUAAUAUUGAUUUUCUAAAGGAUUUUUAUAGAUAAAUUGACAUGCAUGGCACAGAUUAACAGUUUGGCCAGACUAAAUUUGUACUGAGUGAUGUCAUUUUGAAAAGAAAAAUCUGAAUAAACUACAGCCCAUCAGACGAGAAAAGGCUGAUUCUGCCAAUUCAAGUUCGAUGUCUGGCUAGGUGUCUUGUGCAGACCUGACAUAGGCUAUGCUGGACAUGAGCAAGUGUUCCCAAUCGCAUCUUAAAGAAAUUCAAGUUCGAUGCAAGAAAGGUUUGCUCUUUCAAAAUCAAUGCAUUUGUGAGUACCAAGCUGAAUAAGGUUUAUUAUGCAUGCUGAAGAGGUUUGCCUGAAGUUACAUUUUUCAGAAACUUGUCAGAGGAAGAGACAAUGGGCUUUAGAGAAUUUGAAUACCUGGAUAGUGAUAAAUAGAGGGAUAAUUAACAUUGAGGUCCUAAGGGCAGCUUCAUAAAAGCUUUGUACCAAAUUUAUUGAAUUAGAAAUAACAGGAAAUGGUGCUGGGAGAUUCAAUACCAAGAUUUAUGAUUUGGCAUAGGCGAGAUGGCAUACAAGUGAGUAUGUUGUUUUGAGCUUUUCACGUAACUGCUCUUCUAAGGUCAAUGGCUUGCGGACUGUACUUCUAUAGACCCUUUCUUGCAUAAUGAGCUAUGUGUGCAUGCUCUCUUCCGUCAACCGAUCUCGAUGGCGCCCCCCUGGCAUGGUAAAUCAGGACGGCGGGUAUUGGCUGCGCCGCCAGUGUUGUUGGAUUGGAUCGGUUGCAACGUCGAAGAGUAUGGAUUGGGCGUGGGUGGGGUUGAAGAUGAUGGUGCGGGAGGCAGGCGUGGCAGCCGCAGAGAAGGAUGAGAACACACGUUAGCAAGGCCUUGGAUAAGACCGAGCUCAUGGGUGCCGAGGAGCUGACGGCAUCGCCCACUCGACGACCUUCCACGCCCCCUAAUGCUCGCCAUAGUGAAAGGUGGGGAGCCGACAGUGGAAGCAACAACGUUUUUUCGUUUCUUAUAUCCAGCCGACUGAAACAUACCCACAUCUACCGCUUGUCAUACACAACUGCCCCACUCGACCUCACCCUAUGGCACUCCCACCCUCUCCCCUAUCGCUCGCCUUGCUUUGCGACCGAUUCGUAUGGUGCCCUCGGCGUGGCGUAUACCCAUGUUUCUUGUUUGAAAACUUGUCCCAUAUUUCUUGCCGAUCAGAAUUUGACAUGACCAAUUUAGU